rnacentral:rRNA from 1 species
UGCUACAGGCUUAACACAUGCAAGUCGAGGGGCAGCAUAGUCUUAGCUUGCUAAGGCCGAUGGCGACCGGCGCACGGGUGAGUAACACGUAUCCAACCUGCCGUCUACUCUUGGACAGCCUUCUGAAAGGAAGAUUAAUACAAGAUGGCAUCAUGAGUCCGCAUGUUCACAUGAUUAAAGGUAUUCCGGUAGACGAUGGGGAUGCGUUCCAUUAGAUAGUAGGCGGGGUAACGGCCCACCUAGUCUUCGAUGGAUAGGGGUUCUGAGAGGAAGGUCCCCCACAUUGGAACUGAGACACGGUCCAAACUCCUACGGGAGGCAGCAGUGAGGAAUAUUGGUCAAUGGGCGAGAGCCUGAACCAGCCAAGUAGCGUGAAGGAUGACUGCCCUAUGGGUUGUAAACUUCUUUUAUAAAGGAAUAAAGUCGGGUAUGGAUACCCGUUUGCAUGUACUUUAUGAAUAAGGAUCGGCUAACUCCGUGCCAGCAGCCGCGGUAAUACGGAGGAUCCGAGCGUUAUCCGGAUUUAUUGGGUUUAAAGGGAGCGUAGAUGGAUGUUUAAGUCAGUUGUGAAAGUUUGCGGCUCAACCGUAAAAUUGCAGUUGAUACUGGAUAUCUUGAGUGCAGUUGAGGCAGGCGGAAUUCGUGGUGUAGCGGUGAAAUGCUUAGAUAUCACGAAGAACUCCGAUUGCGAAGGCAGCCUGCUAAGCUGCAACUGACAUUGAGGCUCGAAAGUGUGGGUAUCAAACAGGAUUAGAUACCCUGGUAGUCCACACGGUAAACGAUGAAUACUCGCUGUUUGCGAUAUACUGCAAGCGGCCAAGCGAAAGCGUUAAGUAUUCCACCUGGGGAGUACGCCGGCAACGGUGAAACUCAAAGGAAUUGACGGGGGCCCGCACAAGCGGAGGAACAUGUGGUUUAAUUCGAUGAUACGCGAGGAACCUUACCCGGGCUUAAAUUGCAGAUGAAUUACGGUGAAAGCCGUAAGCCGCAAGGCAUCUGUGAAGGUGCUGCAUGGUUGUCGUCAGCUCGUGCCGUGAGGUGUCGGCUUAAGUGCCAUAACGAGCGCAACCCUUGUUGUCAGUUACUAACAGGUUCCGCUGAGGACUCUGACAAGACUGCCAUCGUAAGAUGUGAGGAAGGUGGGGAUGACGUCAAAUCAGCACGGCCCUUACGUCCGGGGCUACACACGUGUUACAAUGGGGGGUACAGAGGGCCGCUACCACGCGAGUGGAUGCCAAUCCCCAAAACCUCUCUCAGUUCGGACUGGAGUCUGCAACCCGACUCCACGAAGCUGGAUUCGCUAGUAAUCGCGCAUCAGCCACGGCGCGGUGAAUACGUUCCCGGGCCUUGUACACACCGCCCGUCAAGCCAUGGGAGCCGGGGGUACCUGAAGUGCGUAACCGCGAGGAGCGCCCUAGGGUAAAACUGGUGACUGGG